rnacentral:sRNA from 1 species
UCCUACCGCCCGUGCGCCCUGGGCGCGCCGCCGGGCCCCGUGCCGGCUCCCCGGGAAUGCGGCCGUCAGUUUCUCCUUCAGAUGCAAGAAGGGAGAUCACAGGAAUCCAUGCCCAGCUCCAGUCUAACUCGGUCCACAGGCAGAGAGAGAAUUAUGAAUGGAUGCUGCCUUCUGAUGAGGAAGUCGACUGGGGAGGUCUCUGCGCACGGCGCGCUCCAUCAAAGCAGGGGCAUUGGCCCCUCCACUGCUUCAGUGCUGCAGGCUGAGCCACCUAAUUGACCACUGGGAAAUCAGGUGCCGGGAGACCUGGGCGGGACGUAGCCCCGGGGCCACGCUGGGAUCGAGUGCCUGGCCCGCCGUAGACAGCUUCGAUUUACAGCCCAGUGAAUGGGACGGACUGCGGCAGCCAAACCUCCCGGGCAGCAGGCAAGGCUGCACCAAUGCUUCGCAGACAGCCGCCUGGCUCCGCUAACAUCUCCAGUUUCCACUGGGGUAGAGAGAACCAGGAUAGAAAGAAUCUGUCCCCUGCUGCCAGCCGCAGUGAUCUGCAGGUCUAGCCCCCAGCCCGAAACUCGGCGGCGCGCGGGAGCCGGCCUGUGCGCUUCCACGAGCUGAGGGCUGCGGAGGAUCCCGGAUCCGGAUUUCUUGUACCUGUGCGAUAGCGCGACCGCUGGGUCUGCGCGAUACCCAUACCCAGAGUGGUGGCAGACUGCACAUCACCAACAGGCUGGACCCAUCGCGGCUGCUCAGCACCGCACCCCCGUGGCUCCCCUCUUACAUCCCAGUCCCCAGCCUCUGGACAUAGCAUUUGAAUUGGAGAAGCCAACCAUGCCAAGCCUUCCUUCUGGGGCAAAAGGACUGAGAUAAGCUAUUGGCACGUGCUGGCAUGUAAUGGGGUAGAGGGGCAGAAAAAAAUGUGACAUUUCAUCCCCUCCCCCCUUAAUCUCUGGACUCUGAAGCCUCACAUUUAGACACAACUCACUCUUCUCUGGCUUAAACACACUGCAAGGACAAUGCUUUUGUAGUCGUGUAUUAAUCUCCAGGGAAGGAUGAUUUACUAGACCAGCUCCGAGGUUGAAUCAGGAUUAAAAACCACGACACUGAGUGCCUAUGCCUUAGGCAGGCAGGUUCUAUAUAUAACAAGCCAGUGCAGAAGGCAGAGUCAUUUAGGGCCACUUAAAACAACGCUUAUGAGAUACAAUCUAAUAUAUAGCAAGGAGAAAACCAGUGAAUGAAAUUAUCCAAAGAUGCCUUGUGGAAUGCCCGGUUUUGCUCAUUUGUCUUGAGGCUUUUGAAACUCAUUUAGGCAAAACUUGACUAUUUUCUGACUGGGCUAUCUAUCUGUAAAUGGGGAGGUUGAUGCCCUGGGCAGAUUUGCAUAUAUGAGCAAGCUUCUGUCCAUGAGGCCUUUAACUCCUGCAUAAUUCACAGUUGUGGUGAGGCAAGGUCACAAGAAAUCACAAGGUAUGCAGGAGCACUGAGUAAAAAAUAUUUCCUAAUUGGCAUUACUAUGAAUUAAUGAUUGUGGUCACAUGAAGAAUCAUAUUGAACCCAAGUUAGUCUGCGUUGGCAGCAUUCCUCCUGCUCAUGCCAACCGACUUGGAGGGACUCCAGCAGCCAGCAAGGACAGGGGAUCUGGCUGGAGUUCCUAUGGAAGACAGUGUCCAGGCCAAGAAGGAUGGGGGAAGAGAAUGGGUAGUGUUUUCACAGUGAGCCAGGAACCCCAAAGUUUAAAGGGUGAGUAGGCAAAGGGAGAGGUGGCCAGGGAGGAAGAGAUAGAUGAGUCAGAGAAGCAGGUUAGGAUGGGGACAGGUCCCACAUCAGAAACUAGGGAAUGACAGAAUUGCAGGAUCACAGUGUGGUCAGGAAUGCUAAUGGCAUUCGCCACAGAUAUAUUAAUGGUUUUCUGGGCAGACCUGAAUCUGAGAAGCUUUGGGAGAGUCUGGGGGAGUAGCCACUCAUGGGAGGGUUGGGAUGGGUAGAAGAAAGGCAAGGAUGAUUAUUUUGGUUGGUUGGUUAGCCCUUCUACUUGAAGAAGCUUCAAAAGCAGUAGACUCAAUGAGGAGGGCAUCAUAAAUAAUCUCCACAAGCCCCCACCCAAACCUGCUGCGUCAUACUAAAAGGUGAGGUUCAGUGGCCAUCGGUCUUAACCGUAGCAAGCUCUCAGACCAACUUCAAUGGGAGGGAGGCUCUAUCAUGUGUGAGCUCCAACUUCCUGGGUGUUGAGAAGAGAAUUUAUGUAAGGUUGAACAAAAUGGCUGCCCUCCACAGCAAAUGCAGGUAGCUGAUAGCCAAGUCACUAAUCAUACAGUUCAAGCAGAUGAACUGAUUGCUUUAGGGUUUCAGGGCUGCUCCAUCAAGGGAGAAACUUAACAAUAAAGAGACCAGAAGUGCAAAUGGUGAGGAAAAUAGCCAAUCUGUUCUUCCUUCAUUUUGAAAUGUCCGAUACUGAGGUGGUUCUUCAUAGUGGUGAUGGAAUCAAUAUGACUAGAUUAUUUACAUUUGAACAGGGUUUUUAGCAAGUCCUACCAUGUAAUGAAAUCAAAUAUGAGCUUAGAACUCAGAAAGACCUGUGCCUGAAUCCUAGUUUCUAUAUCCAUUAGCAUUCGUGGUUUUGGGAACAUUCUUUAACUUCUUCAAUACUUGGUUUCUUCUCUUAUAAGUGAGUGUAAGAAAAUUUAAGAGAUGCCAAGAGAGUAAAUAAUGCAACAAUUAUGAAACAUGAUGUUGGUGCCUGACAUGACAAAACUCGGUGAAGAUGGGUCCUUCCAACCUCUGUUUGAGAUCUUCACACUAGGCUACCUGAAGUUUCCUAUGGCACAACGGUUCAACUAGAAGCACUUCCUGUCAAGUAUUGCUUGUAGAUACAGAACAGAGACUGAUCCCCUUUGAAACUAGCAUUCUAAGAACGUAGUUUAUACACAAGUCCAUGUGGGUGUCACACUUAUUUUUAUUGGAAGCCAAGGACACAAGGUCUCAAAAGAAAGAACUGUAAAUGUUUCUUCCCUUAGGCUGAUGAAGAUCUACAGCAAGGACCAACAUGUUUUUCUAAACAGGGCCAUCCAGAAAGUAUUUUGGGCAUUGUGAGUCAUGUGGUUCAUGCUAAAACCACUCUUGUCUGCCAUGGUAGCUCAAAGGCAGCCAUAAAAAUGCAUAUGUUCCAAUAAAUGUUUGUGGGAUUUAGCAUGGGCCCUAGUGUGUAAAUCUCUGACUGACACUGUCGCUCAAACAUAAUUCUUCCAUUUCACUAGUCUGAUAUUGCUAAUCCCAGGUGAGGUUAUAGUCCUUUCUCUGGCAUGAGGUUUGGAACAGAAAAGGAACCGGCCAAUGGAACCCUGGUAAAAAUGGUAUGUGUCUCCAGGCAUGGCCCAUAAACGUCCUGCAAUUCCCAACUAUAUUCUUCUCUGCUGGCUGAACAGAGGCUGCAGGGAGGGGGAGUGAUGGAGCCCCAAGAAGGAUACACAAAUGGCUAUACAAUGACCUGCAUUAGACUUAGCUAAGUGAGAAAUAAGCCACUGAAAUGUUAGAGAUUUCAUUCCAGAAUUUGCCUACCUUGAGUAAUUCAUUUUCCUAUCUCUUUAAUCAGACGAUAGAAAACACAAUUUAAUGCUUUGCUGAUUACUUAGGGUCUUUAUUAAGAAGGCUUAUUAUUGGUCUCUAUGGUAACACAGUUCUAAGACACUUUUUGGAUUUCCCAGCUCAUUCUUUGAUAUUUAGUUCUCGCUGUCAUUCCUCUCAGCCUCCUUCUAGCUCCUUCCCUAGAGUUGGAAUCCACAGUUGGGCCCAGUUCAUGUCUCUUCCGUCAUCCAUACUCUCUCCUUAUAUUUACCUGGAGCUACUUUCUGGCUUCAGUCUCUUUGGCUCCAAAACAUACCCAUAGCUGGGUGACAUCUGUCCAGUAAAAACCUAAUCGUCUGAGCAAGAGCCUUCAGGAUGAAAUGCCUGGGCUCCCUGACAACUAUUUACAGCCUUGAAAAACAUCCUUGCAAGUAAGCUUUCACGUAUUUCCAGGCUUAGGGCUGUGUUCCAGAAAGCUAGAGUCAUUGGAAGCUCAGCAGCUCGGAGGAGAACAGGCAAUUUCUGUAUUGUCUAGCCUAUGCAUUUUCAAAGCUUAAUUUCUUCUACCAGCCAUGCUGGGGAUUGCAUAGUGUAGGUUCUACUUUUAUUCCUUGACAUUCAUGGACUCUUUGAUUUCUAAAAUACUGCCUCUCCCUACAUGCUGAAAUAUCAAUCUUUAAAACUCUACCUUGUCUGUUUAAUUGAAUAUUUCAUUGCUGCCAACAGACCUUAUUUGCCACCUAUUUUGUAGGAGCUGGGAAAAUGGAUUGUAAAAUGCUACAUAAUUUCAUCUACUUUCAGAGGUGGUAUUUUAUCCUUGUAUUUACAGAGAAUUUACCAAGAAAACUCAGCCAUGUGUUAGACCUGGAGUCUGAAUUAUACUGAAUGUCAAGAAUAUGGUUUUCUCCCUGCAUGAAAUGGAUAUCUAAAGAGAAACUGGUGAGGCCAGACCAAAGAGAGGGAGAAUAGAGGGAGUCUGAAAGGAAGCCUAAGUACCUGUGGAGUCUAAUUUGCAGGGUAAGGUUGUUGUUAAAAGAAAAAGUGGGAUUCAACUUAACAAUCCUAUGCCUUUUCCCCUAAAGAGAGGAUGGGGUAGCAAUCAUCUACAAGAUUUUUUCUAGGCAGGUCUUUCAUUUUGUCUAUUAUUCUAUGAAACCUGGAACCCAAAAUACCUUUCAAAGGAAUUUCCAAUUGCCGAUACUUACUUCUCCCCAUUUCUGGUGUGUGUUCAUCCAUAGCUGACAACUAUAUAGCCAUAAAGAUCAAUAUCUCCUAGGGCAGAAACAUGUUCAGAUCUGUGUAAACUUUUUAUCCCAAACUGACCUUGUUGGCGACCAUGGGGAUCUCAUUUCCAGCUCCACUCCUUUCCCACCAUAUCCACCUACUCUUUGUGUUUGCCUGGAGCUAUUUCUCAGUCUUAUUCUCGUUUCCUAAAUACUAAGACCCAAUGACGCAGUUUUGCCUCUGAGGCUUACUUCUCUGGAGCUAUUUGGAUAUCUCCACCAUAGAUAUAAAUGUGGCUAAACUUUACUUCUCAUCUAUUCUAGUAGCAGCCAUUAGAACUACUGCUACCCUACCUCGGCAUAUGAGAGAUCACCAAAAUAUAAAAAUGGACCACUCAUUCAUAAAGAAUUGUUGUUUAUUCAUACAUGUUUUAUACAACAACAAAUGCUUCAUUUUGUUUUGCAGAACUGGGAAUUGAACCCCAGGCUUCACACAUGCUAGUCAAGUGCUCUACCACUGAUCUUUAUCCUCAGCCCUUAUCACAACAAAUGCAAACUAAUUUCAAAGCACAAAUACCUACGUUAGUAUCUAUAUGGCUGCCUGAAUAAAUUUUCUCUCUCCAAAUUCUCCAAACCAUCUGGCAUAAACUACUGUAUUGUGACCUGUUAAAAUAAGUAACAGCUGUGAUAAUCCCUUUGGAUUUAUAGCAAGCUAUAAAACUUUGCAUAUACUGGCAAUGCAUAUAAAAUAAUAAAUAAAACCAUUAUCAUUC